rnacentral:rRNA from 1 species
AUUGAACGCUGGCGGCAGGCCUAACACAUGCAAGUCGAACGAGUGGCGGACGGGUGAGUAAUGUCUGGGAAACUGCCUGAUGGAGGGAUAUAACUACUGGAAACGGUGGCUAAUACCGCAUACCGACCGAUGGGCCCGGAUGGGAGUAUCUUGUUGGUGGGGUAACGGCUCACCAAGGCGACCCUCCCUAGCUGGUCGUCGAGGAUGACCAGCCACACUGGAACUGAGACACGGUCCGGAUUCCUACGGGAGGCAGCAGUGGGGAAUAUUGGACAAUGGGAGCAAGCCUGAUGCAGCCAUGCCGCGUGUAUGAAGAAGGUCUUCGGGUUGUAAAGUACUUUCAGCUGGGAGGCGUUACCCGCAGAAGAAGCACCGGCUAACUCCGUGCCAGCAGCCGCGGUAAUUC